AGACUUUGAUCCUGGCUCAGGAUGAACGCUGGCGGCGUGCUUAACACAUGCAAGUCGAACGAAGUCUUCGGACUUAGUGGCGGACGGGCGAGUAACGCGUGAGGAUCUGCCCUUAGGUUGGGGACAACCACUGGAAACGGUGGCUAAUACCCAAUGUGCCGAGAGGUGAAAGGUUAACUGCCUGAGGAUGAACUCGCGUCUGAUUAGCUAGUUGGUGGGGUAAGGGCUCACCAAGGCGACGAUCAGUAGCUGGUCUGAGAGGAUGAUCAGCCACACUGGGACUGAGACACGGCCCAGACUCCUACGGGAGGCAGCAGUGGGGAAUUUUCCGCAAUGGGCGAAAGCCUGACGGAGCAACGCCGCGUGAGGGAGGAAGGCCCUAGGGUUGUAAACCUCUUUUCUCUGGGAAGAAGAUCUGACGGUACCUGAGUGAAUAAGCCUCGGCGUACAUCCGUGC
rnacentral:rRNA from 1 species